UGUUAAAAAUUUCAUCUAUUUCUACUGUUAAAAAUUGGUGUGGUUACCUCAUUCUGACGUAUAAGGAUAAGUUUUUAAAAGUAAAAAUGGAUGAAAUUUUUAACA
rfam:Gossypium hirsutum cultivar TM-1 chromosome 20, whole genome shotgun sequence